rnacentral:rRNA from 1 species
GACGAACGCUGGCGGCGUGCUUAACACAUGCAAGUCGAACGGAAAGGCCCUGCUUUUGUGGGGUGCUCGAGUGGCGAACGGGUGAGUAACACGUGAGUAACCUGCCCUUGACUUUGGGAUAACUUCAGGAAACUGGGGCUAAUACCGGAUAGGAGCUCCUGCUGCAUGGUGGGGGUUGGAAAGUUUCGGCGGUUGGGGAUGGACUCGCGGCUUAUCAGCUUGUUGGUGGGGUAGUGGCUUACCAAGGCUUUGACGGGUAGCCGGCCUGAGAGGGUGACCGGCCACAUUGGGACUGAGAUACGGCCCAGACUCCUACGGGAGGCAGCAGUGGGGAAUAUUGCACAAUGGGCGGAAGCCUGAUGCAACAACGCCGCGUGCGGGAUGACGGCCUUCGGGUUGUAAACCGCUUUCGCCUGUGACGAAGCGUGAGUGACGGUAAUGGGUAAAGAAGCACCGGCUAACUACGUGCCAGCAGCCGCGGUGAUACGUAGGGUGCGAGCGUUGUCCGGAUUUAUUGGGCGUAAAGGGCUCGUAGGUGGUUGAUCGCGUCGGAAGUGUAAUCUUGGGGCUUAACCCUGAGCGUGCCUUCGAUACGGGUUGACUUGAGGAAGGUAGGGGAGAAUGGAAUGCCUGGUGGAGCGGUGGAAUGCGCAGAUAUCAGGAGGAACACCAGUGGCGAAGGCGGUUCUCUGGGCCUUUCCUGACGCUGAGGAGCGAAAGCGUGGGGAGCGAACAGGCUUAGAUACCCUGGUAGUCCACGCUGUAAACGGUGGGUACUAGGUGUGGGGUCCAUUCCACGGGUUCCGUGCCGUAGCUAACGCUUUAAGUACCCCGCCUGGGGAGUACGGCCGCAAGGCUAAAACUCAAAGGAAUUGACGGGGCCCCGCACAAGCGGCGGAGCAUGCGGAUUAAUUCGAUGCAACGCGUAGAACCUUACCUGGGUUUGACAUGGAUCGGGAGUGCUCAGAGAUGGGUGUGCCUCUUUUGGGGUCGGUUCACAGGUGGUGCAUGGCUGUCGUCAGCUCGUGUCGUGAGAUGUUGGGUUAAGUCCCGCAACGAGCGCAACCCUUGUUCACUGUUGCCAGCACGUUAUGGUGGGGACUCAGUGGAGACCGCCGGGGUCAACUCGGAGGAAGGUGGGGAUGACGUCAAGUCAUCAUGCCCCUUAUGUCCAGGGCUUCACGCAUGCUACAAUGGCUGGUACAGAGAGUGGCGAGCCUGUGAGGGUGAGCGAAUCUCGGAAAGCCGGUCUCAGUUCGGAUUGGGGUCUGCAACUCGACCUCAUGAAGUCGGAGUCGCUAGUAAUCGCAGAUCAGCAACGCUGCGGUGAAUACGUUCCCGGGGCU